AUGAUAGCUGCAGUUCACUGGGUACCCACCAGGUGCCGGCUCCUCACACACGUGAUCUCUGGAGCACCCACAACCCGCAUGCCGGGACUUGGUGACACUCCCGAUUGCCAAAGGGCCAUACAGCAGUUUCUCCCUUGUGGCAUUACUCUCCGGCAUGGUCCCCGUCUCUUUGAAAGUGGGCAAAGCCAGCACUCAGGUAAGCUGGGAAAGCCGUGUGCCCCUGGCGCUCCCAGAGGCCCCGGGGAACUCUGCCCGUGUACGUUUGAUGUCAGGGUGGAUAACAGAGGGGGGAAAGGGAGUAGAGUUCAGGUGAGAGCCUAGCUCUGGAGUCGGACAACCUGCAUUCAAAUGCCGGUUCUGUCACAUAUUAGGAGAGUGGCUUGGGCAAACUCUUUCCCCAGCACCCCCCCCACCCCCACCCCAGGCUUUAGGCACUGCUGCUGGCUGCUGGGGCGAGGGGCUCAUGCAGGAGAUUGCUCAGCAGGGCUAUGAAGAACAGACCCCAGAGAGGCCGAACAACGAUGACCCUCCUACCCCACCAGCGCGUGCCUGCCCACCUCUUCUGAGCCUGUGCUGAGCGGCCUGGAGAGGCCGAGUGCAGGGCCCCAGCUGCGUCCAUUCUCGCCAGCAUACCCAGUAUCCUUGAGAGUCAGUGGGCUUAGAAGCCUCUUGCCCUGUCUGCAGCUGCAGCGGGGACUCAGACGGUGGGCGAGGGAGACUGGUUAGACCCCCGUGUCUGCUCUAAGCAGGAAAGGAGGCAGAGACAAGGGACAGAACGUGUGUGACCACGCAACAGGCACGGUGCCGAAGCCUGAUCACAGAAAACUCACAAUGACCCCACGAGGAAGGCGGGACCCUCUUCGGGCCGGUGCCUUCGGAGGUCACCCAGCGAUCAGUGGCACAUGUGCUGCCCACUGCCAGCUGGCCACACUCAAGGCACCGCUGUACCUGAGGGAAUAUUAUUUCUAAGUCUCCAUAAACCAUCAAGGAGAGGACCUGGCUGUUUGAGAGGAACUCCAUCAUCAUUCUCCUGUUUGGCUUUUCACUGUGUUUUCUGCCACUGGACCGUAAGCUGCACGAGGGCAGGAGUCCUCGUCCUGUUCACCAUGGUCUCCCCAGCCCUUAGAACAGCGCUUGGCACGUAGCUGCACAUACACGCUCAUUAAGUAUGGGCUGAUGGGAGGGAGGGACGUAGUAGCUGGAUGCAGCCUGCAGUUCUCUCUUGAGUCCGGCACCUGAGAGACGAUGCAGGACUAGAGCCCAGAGAAAGGAAGCGACUUGGCUGGGGUCAGUGCGGGCCAGCGGAGUGAGUAACCUGGGCUGCCCAACAGGGCUUCCUCGGGAGUGCUGCCCCACCCUGCAAUCACGGUGACGGGGGCCGAACGCUGCUGCGCCGGGAUGGAGGGGUGAGAGGUCCUCUGUGGUUCCAUCAGAAGCUGGGAGGAGUGACCCAGGUUCUGGGGGUUAACUGCAGGAACUCCAAAUAUUAUUACUGAUCAUGGAAUGAGCCAGCUGUUGCAUGUGGGAAUAAUAAGAUUGCAGAGGCUGAGGGCUAAUUAGAAAUGUGUCAGAUGCUUUUUCUUAACAGCAAGGAAUUUCUACAAAGGAGAGAUGCAUAAGUAAAGCCAGUUGAUCAGCAGAAUUGGUCUCUGGGGCAGAGCCCUUUCCAAGGCUUCCCUGACCUUCCCCAUCUCUUAUCACGUUCUCCUUCAGUCCUUCUCUCUCUGCACGGCUUCCGGGGAGAUGAGUGGCAAAGGUCCUCAGAGCAGAACAGAUGGCCCCAAAUGCCAGGGCAGUCCUUGUCACAUGCCCGUCUCUCACCCUUGAAUGGGAAUUCCUCUGAGCAGGGCCUGGCAGCCUUCUUUUGUGUCACCAGUUUCUAGCACAGUAUUUGGGCAUCACGGCAGCACUCCCUGAAUAUUUGUGCAGUGAGCGAAGGAGUGAAUAAAUACCUAGGGUGGCCGGCUGCUGCUACUCCC
rnacentral:lncRNA from 1 species